rnacentral:lncRNA from 1 species
CUUCAUGGUUGAUGGUAUAAAUGGUGCAGCUUCUCAAGUUCAGAGUUGGCAUUUUGUAGAUGAUGACCUCAGCAAUGGUAUUCCAGACUCCAUGCAUUCUAGUGACCAUAAAUCUGAAUCUCUCGUGAAUCAAGCAGAGGGUUUUCCUUCUUCCAAGGAUGAAAACAUGAGCCACAUUCAAUUGAAAGAACUUCAAGAAGGCAAUCAUACAAAACUAAGUUUGUUGGAUCUUGGGAUAGUUGAUGGUGCACACUACAGGAAAACUCUUUCUGCUAUUUUUGGAAGUUCAAAUCGGUUGACUGAGAACCCGUGUUUCCUUAGUGUUGAGCACAAAUCCAGUUUUGUAAGUUGGAAGAAAGGAGGAAUGGUUAAGAGGCAUUGGCCAGGG